rnacentral:rRNA from 1 species
AUUGAACGCUGGCGGCAUGCCUUACACAUGCAAGUCGAACGGCAGCACGGGGCAACCUGGUGGCGAGUGGCGAACGGGUGAGUAAUGCAUCGGAACGUACCUUUCAGUGGGGGAUAACGUAGCGAAAGUUACGCUAAUACCGCAUAUUCUGUGAGCAGGAAAGCAGGGGAUCGCAAGACCUUGCGCUGAUUGAGCGGCCGAUGUCAGAUUAGCUAGUUGGUGAGGUAAAGGCUCACCAAGGCGACGAUCUGUAGCGGGUCUGAGAGGAUGAUCCGCCACACUGGAACUGAGACACGGUCCAGACUCCUACGGGAGGCAGCAGUGGGGAAUCUUGCGCAAUGCGCGAAAGCGUGACGCAGCAACGCCGCGUGAGGGAAGACGGCCUUCGGGUUGUAAACCUCUUUCAGGAGGGACGAAGGUUCGCCGGCGAACAGCCUGGCGGAUUGACGGUACCUCCAGAAGAAGCCCCGGCUAACUACGUGCCAGCCGCCGCAGUAA